rnacentral:tRNA from 1 species
GGACGGGUGACAGAGUGGUUGAUUGUGCUGGUCUCGAAAACCAGUGUACGUGCAAGCGUACCGAGGGUUCGAAUCCCUCUCCGUCCGCCA